AAAUUGAAGAGUUUGAUCAUGGCUCAGAUUGAACGCUGGCGGCAGGCCUAACACAUGCAAGUCGAGCGGUAGCACAGAAGAGCUUGCUCUCCGGUGACGAGCGGCGGACGGGUGAGUAAUGUCUGGGAAACUGCCUGAUGGAGGGGGAUAACUACUGGAAACGGUAGCUAAUACCGCAUAAUGUCGCAAGACCAAAGUGGGGGACCUUCGGGCCUCAUGCCAUCAGAUGUGCCCAGAUGGGAUUAGCUAGUAGGUGGGGUAACGGCUCACCUAGGCGACGAUCCCUAGCUGGUCUGAGAGGAUGACCAGCCACACUGGAACUGAGACACGGUCCAGACUCCUACGGGAGGCAGCAGUGGGGAAUAUUGCACAAUGGGCGCAAGCCUGAUGCAGCCAUGCCGCGUGUGUGAAGAAGGCCUUCGGGUUGUAAAGCACUUUCAGCGGGGAGGAAGGCGAUAAGGUUAAUAACCUUGUCGAUUGACGUUACCCGCAGAAGAAGCACCGGCUAACUCCGUGCCAGCAGCCGCGGUAAUACGGAGGGUGCAAGCGUUAAUCGGAAUUACUGGGCGUAAAGCGCACGCAGGCGGUCUGUCAAGUCGGAUGUGAAAUCCCCGGGCUCAACCUGGGAACUGCAUUCGAAACUGGCAGGCUAGAGUCUUGUAGAGGGGGGUAGAAUUCCAGGUGUAGCGGUGAAAUGCGUAGAGAUCUGGAGGAAUACCGGUGGCGAAGGCGGCCCCUGGACAAAGACUGACGCUCAGGUGCGAAAGCGUGGGGAGCAAACAGGAUUAGAUACCCUGGUAGUCCACGCCGUAAACGAUGUCGAUUUGGAGGUUGUGCCCUUGAGGCGUGGCUUCCGGAGCUAACGCGUUAAAUCGACCGCCUGGGGAGUACGGCCGCAAGGUUAAAACUCAAAUGAAUUGACGGGGGCCCGCACAAGCGGUGGAGCAUGUGGUUUAAUUCGAUGCAACGCGAAGAACCUUACCUGGUCUUGACAUCCACAGAACUUUCCAGAGAUGGAUUGGUGCCUUCGGGAACUGUGAGACAGGUGCUGCAUGGCUGUCGUCAGCUCGUGUUGUGAAAUGUUGGGUUAAGUCCCGCAACGAGCGCAACCCUUAUCCUUUGUUGCCAGCGGUCCGGCCGGGAACUCAAAGGAGACUGCCAGUGAUAAACUGGAGGAAGGUGGGGAUGACGUCAAGUCAUCAUGGCCCUUACGACCAGGGCUACACACGUGCUACAAUGGCAUAUACAAAGAGAAGCGACCUCGCGAGAGCAAGCGGACCUCAUAAAGUAUGUCGUAGUCCGGAUUGGAGUCUGCAACUCGACUCCAUGAAGUCGGAAUCGCUAGUAAUCGUAGAUCAGAAUGCUACGGUGAAUACGUUCCCGGGCCUUGUACACACCGCCCGUCACACCAUGGGAGUGGGUUGCAAAAGAAGUAGGUAGCUUAACCUUCGGGAGGGCGCUUACCACUUUGUGAUUCAUGACUGGGGUGAAGUCGUAACAAGGUAACCGUAGGGGAACCUGCGGUUGGAUCACCUCCUUA
rnacentral:rRNA from 1 species